UCGAUGUCGGCUCAUCGCAUCCUGGGGCUGUAGUCGGUCCCAAGGGUUGGGCUGUUCGCCCAUUAAAGCGGUACGCGAGCUGGGUUCAGAACGUCGUGAGACAGUUC
rnacentral:ncRNA from 1 species